UACGGAGGGCGCGAGCGUUACCCGGAUUUACUGGGCGUAAAGGGCGUGUAGGCGGUCUGGGGCGUCCCAUGUGAAAGGCCACGGCUCAACCGUGGAGGAGCGUGGGAUACGCUCAGGCUAGACGGUGGGAGAGGGUGGUGGAAUUCCAGGAGUAGCGGUGAAAUGCGCAGAUACCGGGAGGAACGCCGAUGGCGAAGGCAGCCACCUGGCUCACUGGUGACGCUGAGGCGAGAAAGCGUGGGGAGCAAACCGG
rnacentral:rRNA from 1 species